GGAUGAUGAUUUGCUGAUAAUGUCGGAUGUUGAUGAGAUACCUAGUAGACAUACCAUCAAUCUGUUGAGGUGGUGUGAUGACACUCCUCCAGUUCUUCAUCUCCGAUUGAAGAACUAUCUCUACUCUUUUGAGUUCCUUGUGGACAGCAAUAGCUGGAGAGCUUCUGUUCAUCGGUACCAAUCUGGUAAGACAAGGUAUGCACAUUAUCGACAGUCAGACGUGAUCUUAGCAGAUGCAGGAUGGCAUUGUAGCUUUUGUUUCCACCACAUAAGCGAGUUCAUAUUCAAGAUGAAAGCGUACAGUCAUUUUGACAGGGUAAGAUUUUCUCAUUUUCUUAAUCCAAAGAGAGUGCAAAAGGUAAUCUGUGAAGGAGCUGACUUAUUUGAUAUGCUACCGGAGGAGUACACAUUCA
rnacentral:misc_RNA from 1 species